AGUAUACCGUAAUAUUUAUACGGUAUAGGUUCUUCCCACUUGACAGAGUUUUACGACCCGAAAGCCUUCAUCACUCACGCGGCGUUGCUGCGUCAGGGUUUCCCCCAUUGCGCAAAAUUCCUCA
rnacentral:rRNA from 1 species